AGCGAACGCUGGCGGCAGGCCUAACACAUGCAAGUCGAACGAACUCUUCGGAGUUAGUGGCGGACGGGUGAGUAACACGUGGGAACGUGCCUUUAGGUUCGGAAUAACUCAGGGAAACUUGUGCUAAUACCGAAUGUGCCCUUCGGGGGAAAGAUUUAUCGCCUUUAGAGCGGCCCGCGUCUGAUUAGCUAGUUGGUGGGGUAAUGGCCCACCAAGGCUACGAUCAGUAGCUGGUCUGAGAGGAUGACCAGCCACAUUGGGACUGAGACACGGCCCAAACUCCUACGGGAGGCAGCAGUGGGGAAUAUUGGACAAUGGGCGCAAGCCUGAUCCAGCCAUGCCGCGUGAGUGAUGAAGGUCUUAGGAUUGUAAAGCUCUUUCACCGGUGAAGAUAAUGACGGUAUCCGGAGAAGAAGCCCCGGCUAACUUCGUGCCAGCAGCCGCGGUAAUACGAAGGGGGCUAGCGUUGUUCGGAUUUACUGGGCGUAAAGCGCACGUAGGCGGACUAUUAAGUCAGGGGUGAAAUCCCGGGGCUCAACCCCGGAACUGCCUUUGAUACUUGGAGUCUUGAGUUCGAGAGAGGUGAGUGGAAUUGCGAGU
rnacentral:rRNA from 1 species